GGCAGGGUUGAUACUUAGCUUCGGUGCAGCGAGCUCUCGCUUGCAACUGAGGAAAGUCCACCCACCCAACUGCGGAAGAAUGUGAGUAAAUUCGCUCACAACUCACACGGUUGACAAAUUGGGUGACAUUUUGCUUUUGCAAAAAUCACCUGUGUAGCCACUCACGGAAGUGAGCUCUAGCAAUAGAGGGCAACCACUCAGAAACGAGACCGCUUGCAAAGAGGAUGAUGUUUGCGAAAGUUUUCGCGAGAAAACUAAGUAGACCAACUGACGUUUUUGCAAGCAUGGGUGAAACGGUGAGCCCUGGCUGGUGCAAGUCAGUGACGUUAAAUUUCGGCGACAUGCGAGUGAGCUUCGUUCGUGAAGCGAACUCGUUCACAGGUCACUGAAAUUUAUGGCGUUCCAGUACGCUUAGUUUAAUGCUAAGACAGGCCAUCGCAAUUUUAUAAUUGCAUUCAGGGCCUGACAAAAGGUGGCUUAUGCCGGCCCUGCC
rnacentral:RNase_P_RNA from 1 species